rnacentral:pre_miRNA from 1 species
AACCUUCUGUAUCCGUGCUGGGAUUUCGGCACACUCCAGACCACAAGGGCUGAUGAGACUCCCAAGGUAAGCGAAGCG